rnacentral:tRNA from 1 species
GGGGAUUUAGCUCAGUGGUAGAGUGCUUGCUUAGCAAGCGCAAAGCCCUGGGUUCAGUCCCCA